rnacentral:rRNA from 1 species
UACGAACUGUGCAAACGUUAUUCGGAAUCACUGGGCUUAAAGGGUGCGUAGGCGGCUAUCUAAGCAGGGUGUGAAAGCCCCCGGCUCAACCGGGGAAUUGCGUUCUGAACUGGAUGGCUGGAGUGAGAUAGGGGUGUGUGGAACUUCCAGUGGAGCGGCGAAAUGUGUUGAUAUUGGAAGGAACGCCGGUGGCGAAAGCGACACACUGGGUCUCAACUGACGCUGAGGCACGAAAGCCAGGGGAGCGAACGGG